rnacentral:rRNA from 1 species
AGUAGUUUGAUCCUGGCUCAGAUGACGCUGGCGGCGUGCUUAACACAUGCAAGUCGAGCGAAGCACUUUUUUAGAACUCUUCGGAGGGAAGAGAGGGUGACUUAGCGGCGGACGGGUGAGUAACGCGUGGGCAACCUGCCUUACACAGGGGGAUAACAAUUAGAAAUGAUUGCUAAUACCGCAUAAGACCACGGUACUGCAUGGUACAGUGGUAAAAACUGAGGUGGUGUAAGAUGGGCCCGCGUCUGAUUAGGUAGUUGGUGGGGUAGAAGCCUACCAAGCCGACGAUCAGUAGCCGACCUGAGAGGGCGACCGGCCACAUUGGGACUGAGACACGGCCCAAACUCCUACGGGAGGCAGCAGUGGGGAAUAUUGCACAAUGGGGGAAACCCUGAUGCAGCGACGCCGCGUGAGUGAGGAAGUAUUUCGGUAUGUAAAGCUCUAUCAGCAAGGAAGAAAAUGACGGUACCUGACUAAGAAGCCCCGGCUAACUACGUG